rnacentral:rRNA from 1 species
AGAGUUUGAUCCUGGCUCAGAUUGAACGCUGGCGGCAUGCCUUACACAUGCAAGUCGAACGGCAGCACGGGAGCAAUCCUGGUGGCGAGUGGCGAACGGGUGAGUAAUAUAUCGGAACGUGCCCAGUCGUGGGGGAUAACGUAGAGAAAUUUACGCUAAUACCGCAUACGAUCUAAGGAUGAAAGCGGGGGACUCGCAAGGGCCUCGCGCGAUUGGAGCGGCUGAUAUCAGAUUAGGUUGUUGGUGAAGUAAAAGCUCACCAAGCCGACGAUCUGUAGCUGGUUUGAGAGAACGACCAGCCACACUGGGACUGAGACACGGCCCAGACUCCUACGGGAGGCAGCAGUGGGGAAUUUUGGACAAUGGGCGAAAGCCUGAUCCAGCAAUGCCGCGUGCAGGAAGAAGGCCUUCGGGUUGUAAACUGCUUUUGUACGGAACGAAAAGGUCUGCCCUA